rnacentral:lncRNA from 10 species
GAAAGUUGAUUUGGAGCCCCACUGAUUUUUCUGACAUUUUUUUAAGAGCGAAAUUUUCUUCUUUUCAGGGAACUUGAAAUGCUAAAAGCAGAUGCCCAGAGACAUCCUGAUGAUUGGAUUUAAAAUUUAAAAAGCAUUCCAAACCUUCUAAGAGACAAAUCUGACUUUAGAAGAUUCUUACUUUUCAUAAAAGUGUUUCCAGUCCCUAGUCACAGUCAAAAAUUAUUUGCAUUAAAGAAUACACAGUCUAAUAUGAACUCAUGAAAAUAAUCAAUUCCCUUUCAACCGGCAUACUUGCUCUUGGAGUGAGAACCUAGGCUGCAUUCCUAGUAUUACAUUAGUCACUGUGGUCUUCACUAAUACAGAAUGAAAAUUCUCUGGGGCUUAUGCCUACCACCUCCAGACUCUAAUUACACUAGGAGAAACCAAUGUUGCUGCAGAAUGCUUGAGUUAGCAUUUCCUGACUUUGCUGCCGUGUAGAGAAUUUGCAUGUGUGGACAUUGCUUUGGAUCCCUCUGGAUCAGAAGUUCCCUUGUGGGCCCACUGUGAAGAUGAAUUGCUAAACGAAUUGUGAUACAGCCACACAAUGGACUACUGCUCAGCAAUAAAAAGGAAUGAACUAUUGAUAUGCCCAACAACGUAGAUGAACCUCAAAACCGUUAUGGAUGGCAUCUUGCUCUGUUACCUAGGCUGGAGCACGGUGGCACAAUCUCGGUUCAUUGCAACCUCCACUUCCCGGGUUCAAGUGAUUCUCCUGCCUCAGCCUCCCGAGUAGCUGGGAUUAAAGGCACCUGCCACCACGCCCAGGUUGUCUUUAAUUGUCCUGCUGGAGCAUGUGUACCCUUUCGCUAUGGUAUAUAACCCUUGGGUCUGGGGUAGCAGUGCAGAGAUCUACCUGUCUUGCAGCUGCCCAAAACCAUGCUUCCAUUGCCGAGCAUGGUGGCUGACGCUGGUAAUUCCACCACUUUGGAAGGCCAAGAUGUGAGGAUCACUUGAACCCGGGAGUUCCAGACCAGCCUGGACAGCAUAGUGAGAUUCUGUCUCUAUGCAAAAUAAAAUAAAAUAAAAAAUUAUCCAGGCACGGUGGCAUGCGCCUGUAGUUCCAGCUACUUGGGAGGCUGAGGCAAGAGGAUUGCUGGAACCCAGGAAGUUGAGGAUGCAAUAAGCUUGAUCACGCCACCACACUCCAGUCUGGGCGACGGAGCGAGACCCUGCCUCAAGAGAACAAACAACAACAACAGAAACCUAUGUUUCCCUCUAUGCACUGCUUUAGCUCGUUCAAUUUAAAAUAGUCUCUAAUUUCCCUCGUAUGUCUUUUAUGAUCCAUAAAUAAUUUAUAAGGGUGCUGUUUAAUUUCCAAAUAUUUGUGAUUUCCUCUGAAAUAGAUUAUUCCCACUGACUUAUUUCUGAUUUGUUUCACACAGUGUGCUUUGUAUGAUUUUAAUACAUUUAAAUUCAUUUAAAAUUGUUUUAUGGCCCAACAUAUGGUCAGUCUUGAAAAAUGUACUUCUUUUCACUUGAAAAGAAGUGUGUUUUUCAGUUCUAUAAAUGGUGUCCUAUGAAUUUCAAUUAGAUCAUGGGAGUUGAUAAUGUUAAAAUCUUCUAAGUCUACUGAUUUUUAAAAAUCUAGCUGUUGUAUUAAUUGGUAAGAAGAGUCUUAAAUAUAAUACUCUGACUGUAAAAUAGUCUAUUUUUUCUUUUCAUUCUGUCGAUUUUUGCCUGAUGUAUUUUGAAACUCUGUUCUUAGGUCUAUACACAUUUAUAAUUAUGUCUACACACAUUUAUAAUUAUGUCUACCUGAUCAAUUGUUCUUUUUUCUCAUAAUAAAAUAUCCCUCAUCUCUUCUAAUAU